GUGUGAGGUGUGUGUGUGUGUGUGCCCAAUCCGUAGUCGACAUAAAACUACUUCAAUGAACCGUUCCUGAUGACUACAUGACUUCCACUCGCCAAGUAUGGGUUUUGU
rnacentral:lncRNA from 1 species